GCCCCCAUAGCUUAUUCCAAAGCAUGGCACUGAAGAUGCCAAGACGGUACCCAUAAUACCUGCGGGC
rnacentral:tRNA from 1 species